CUGUCAAAUUAAAGUCGGAGCAGUCCUUGCUCAAUUUCGAUAUCGUCGUUUUGUCUAUUAUUAGCAUUCUGGGCUGUCAUGUUAUCGCAACUGUUGUGCACCAAUGUCAAUUGCACAAGUCAAAAACUGCCUCAUAGAUGACUUUCGAGAUACUUUGCCGGCAAUUACGCAACAUAAAAGACGACAGCUUUGGCAAUAGCAACAACAUCAUCAUUAUCAACACCAUCAAAGCCCGGAAAAUUUCACCUUCUGUGACUCCACCCCCCCUCCCAACGCCGUGCCUUUCGUCUCCUUUUGUCCCCCUCAAUUGUCGUAAAAUCAUAGGAAAAAAGAAAGGAGCCAACGGAGGCGAAAAGUGUGAGUGCGUAAAUUUCUCUCUGGACUCGGAGUCGCUCAAGUGUCCUUCCAUUCUGUGUCAUAAAAUUAACGCUUUAUAUGAACGAAAGCAUAAGGCGCUCGAUUUUUAUCACCAAGGCCAACAAGAUGGCCAUAAACGAAUCAGGAACAUGGAAACGCAGAGGAAAAAAAUAGGCAGCUAAGUAUCUAC
ensembl:ncRNA lncRNA:CR45173 long non-coding RNA:CR45173